rnacentral:rRNA from 1 species
GACGAACGCUGGCGGCGUGCUUAACACAUGCAAGUCGAACGGAAAGGCCUGCUUUCCCUUGUGGAUUGCGGGUACUCGAGUGGCGAACGGGUGAGUAACACGUGAGUGAUCUGCCCCCAACUUGGGUAUAAGCCUGGGAAACUGGGUCUAAUUCCCGAUAGGACUGCAGGGUGGUGCCUGUGGUGGAAAACGAUUUUCUAGUGGUUGGGGAUGAGCUCGCGGCCUAUCAGCUUGUUGGUGGGGUAAUGGCCUACCCAGGCGGCGACGGGUAGCCGGCCUGGGAGGGUGGACGGCGACAUUGGGACUGGGAUACGGCCCAGACUGCUACGGGAGGCAGCAGUGGGGAAUAUUGGACAAUGGGCGGAAGCCUGAUGCAGCGACGCCGCGUGGGGGAUGACGGCCUUCGGGUUGUAAACUCCUUGCGACCGCGAGGAAGCCACCUGGUUGGAAGGGUGGUGACGGUAGUGGUAGAAGAAGCACCGGCUAACUACGUG